rfam:Oryza rufipogon genomic scaffold, chr12
UCGAGCCGUAUGAAGGGAAACUCCCACGUACAGUUUGUUUUGGGGGGGAAGGAGCCCGAUAGGGUCCCCCCACUGACUUGGCCCGGGCCUAAGUGAAAGUGAAAAAGUGAAGUGGUGGGCCUACCCAUCCCAAC